rnacentral:rRNA from 1 species
ACCCGCGGCAAGACGGAAAGACCCCGUGAACCUUUACUAUAGCUUGACACUGAACAUUGAGCCUUGAUGUGUAGGAUAGGUGGGAGGCUUUGAAGUGUGGACGCCAGUCUGCAUGGAGCCGACCUUGAAAUACCACCCUUUAAUGUUUGAUGUUCUAACGUGGACCCGUUACCCGGGUUGCGGACAGUGUCUGGUGGGUAGUUUGACUGGGGCGGUCUCCUCCUAAAGAGUAACGGAGGAGCACGAAGGUUGGCUAAUCCUGGUCGG